UCAAGUGAUGUGGCAGGGACGAACUGAAAUUAGUGUGGAAAAAUUAAAAGACUGACCUAUCGCAUAUUCCUAAUAGAAUGAAAAUACACGAAGAUAAUUAAUAGAUGAGAAAAAAUUACAUUACUAUUAAAGUCACGGUCCUUAUUAU
rnacentral:sRNA from 1 species